GAACGCACAUUGCGCCCGCCAGUAUUCUGGCGGGCAUGCCUGUUCGAGCGUCAUUUCAACCCUCAAGACCCCUUCGGGGGACUUGGUGUUGGGGACCGGCACAGGGGCCUGCCUGCUUGUCUUGCAGCGCCCUCGCCGCCCCCGAAAUGAAUUGGCGGCCUCGUCGCGGCCUCCCCUGCGUAGUAGCACAACCUCGCAACGGGAACGUGACGGCGGCCACUGCCGUAAAACAACCCCAAUUUUAUUAGAGUUGAUCUCAAAUCAGGUAGGACUACCCGCUGAACUUA
rnacentral:misc_RNA from 1 species